rnacentral:rRNA from 1 species
UAGGGAAUCUUCAGCAAUGGACGGAAGUCUGACCGAGCAACGCCGCGUGAGUGAAGAAGGUUUUCGGAUCGUAAAGCUCUGUUGUAAGAGAAGAACGAGUGUGAGAGUGGAAAGUUCACACUGUGACGGUAUCUUACCAGAAAGGGACGGCUAACUACGUGCCAGCAGCCGCGGUAAUACGUAGGUCCCGAGCGUUGUCCGGAUUUAUUGGGCGUAAAGCGAGCGCAGGCGGUUAGAUAAGUCUGAAGUUAAAGGCUGUGGCUUAACCAUAGUACGCUUUGGAAACUGUUUAACUUGAGUGCAAGAGGGGAGAGUGGAAUUCCAUGUGUAGCGGUGAAAUGCGUAGAUAUAUGGAGGAACACCGGUGGCGAAAGCGGCUCUCUGGCUUGUAACUGACGCUGAGGCUCGAAAGCGUGGGGAGCAAACAGGAUUAGAUACCCUGGUAGUCCACGCCGUAAACGAUGAGUGCUAGGUGUUAGACCCUUUCCGGGGUUUAGUGCCGCAGCUAACGCAUUAAGCACUCCGCCUGGGGAGUACGACCGCAAGGUUG